UAGAGUUUGAUCCUGGCUCAGGAUGAACGCUGGCGGCGUGCCUAAUACAUGCAAGUCGAACGCACAGCGAAAGGUGCUUGCACCUUUCAAGUGAGUGGCGAACGGGUGAGUAACACGUGGAUAACCUACCUCAAGGUUGGGGAUAACAUUUGGAAACAGAUGCUAAUACCGAAUAAAACUUAGUAUCGCAUGAUACCAGGUUAAAAGGCGCUACGGCGUCACCUAGAGAUGGAUCCGCGGUGCAUUAGUUAGUUGGUGGGGUAAAGGCUUACCAAGACAAUGAUGCAUAGCCGAGUUGAGAGACUGAUCGGCCACAUUGGGACUGAGACACGGCCCAAACUCCUACGGGAGGCUGCAGUAGGGAAUCUUCCACAAUGGGCGAAAGCCUGAUGGAGCAACGCCGCGUGUGUGAUGAAGGCUUUCGGGUCGUAAAGCACUGUUGUAUGGGAAGAACAGCUAGAGUAGGGAAUGACUUUAGUUUGACGGUACCAUACCAGAAAGGGACGGCUAAAUACGUGCCAGCAGCCGCGGUAAUACGUAUGUCCCGAGCGUUAUCCGGAUUUAUUGGGCGUAAAGCGAGCGCAGACGGUUAAUUAAGUCUGAUGUGAAAGCCCGGAGCUCAACUCCGGAAAGGCAUUGGAAACUGGUUAACUUGAGUGCAGUAGAGGUAAGUGGAACUCCAUGUGUAGCGGUGGAAUGCGUAGAUAUAUGGAAGAACACCAGCGGCGAAGGCGGCUUACUGGACUGUAACUGACGUUGAGGCUCGAAAGUGUGGGUAGCAAACAGGAUUAGAUACCCUGGUAGUCCACACCGUAAACGAUGAACACUAGGUGUUAGGAGGUUUCCGC
rnacentral:rRNA from 1 species